UCGAUGGGAAACAGGUUAAUAUUCCUGUACUUGGUGUUACUGCGAAGGGGGGACGGAGAAGGCUAUGUUGGCCGGGCGACGGUUGUCCCGGUUUAAGCGUGUAGGCUGGUUUUCCAGGCAAAUCCGGAAAAUCAAGGCUGAGGCGUGAUGACGAGGCACUACGGUGCUGAAGCAACAAAUGCCCUGCUUCCAGGAAAAGCCUCUAAGCAUCAGGUAACAUCAAAUCGUACCCCAAACCGACACAGGUGGUCAGGUAGAGAAUACCAAGGCGCUUGAGAGAACUCGGGUGAAGGAACUAGGCAAAAUGGUGCCGUAACUUCGGGAGAAGGCACGCUGAUAUGUAGGUGAAGUCCCUUGCGGAUGGAGCUGAAAUCAGUCGAAGAUACCAGCUGGCUGCAACUGUUUAUUAAAAACACAGCACUGUGCAAACACGAAAGUGGACGUAUACGGUGUGACGCCUGCCCGGUGCCGGAAGGUUAAUUGAUGGGGUCAGCGCAAGCGAAGCUCUUGAUCGAAGCCCCGGUAAACGGCGGCCGUAACUAUAACGGUCCUAAGGUAGCGAAAUUCCUUGUCGGGUAAGUUCCGACCUGCACGAAUGGCGUAAUGAUGGCCAGGCUGUCUCCACCCGAGACUCAGUGAAAUUGAACUCGCUGUGAAGAUGCAGUGUACCCGCGGCAAGACGGAAAGACCCCGUGAACCUUUACUAUAGCUUGACACUGAACAUUGAGCCUUGAUGUGUAGGAUAGGUGGGAGGCUUUGAAGUGUGGACGCCAGUCUGCAUGGAGCCGGCCUUGAAAUACCACCCUUUAAUGUUUGAUGUUCUAACGUGGACCCGUGAUCCGGGUUGCGGACAGUGUCUGGUGGGUAGUUUGACUGGGGCGGUCUCCUCCUAAAGAGUAACGGAGGAGCACGAAGGUUGGCUAAUCCUGGUCGGACAUCAGGAGGUUAGUGCAAUGGCAUAAGCCAGCUUGACUGCGAGCGUGACGGCGCGAGCAGGUGCGAAAGCAGGUCAUAGUGAUCCGGUGGUUCUGAAUGGAAGGGCCAUCGCUCAACGGAUAAAAGGUACUCCGGGGAUAACAGGCUGAUACCGCCCAAGAGUUCAUAUCGACGGCGGUGUUUGGCACCUCGAUGUCGGCUCAUCACAUCCUGGGGCUGAAGUAGGUCCCAAGGGUAUGGCUGUUCGCCAUUUAAAGUGGUACGCGAGCUGGGUUUAGAACGUCGUGAGACAGUUCGGUCCCUAUCUGCCGUGGGCGCUGGAGAACUGAGGGGGGCUGCUCCUAGUACGAGAGGACCGGAGUGGACGCAUCACUGGUGUUCGGGUUGUCAUGCCAAUGGCACUGCCCGGUAGCUAAAUGCGGAAGAGAUAAGUGCUGAAAGCAUCUAAGCACGAAACUUGCCCCGAGAUGAGUUCUCCCUGACCCUUUAAGGGUCCUGAAGGAACGUUGAAGACGACGACGUUGAUAGGCCGGGUGUGUAAGCGCAGCGAUGCGUUGAGCUAACCGGUACUAAUGAACCGUGAGG
rnacentral:rRNA from 1 species